rnacentral:rRNA from 1 species
AUGAACAGCGGCGACGCCGCCGGGUCCAGCUCCGGCGGAUCCGGGGACGCGGGCGCGCCCAGGAGGGCCUCCAGGAAGCCCAAGUAUUCCAAGUUUACGCAGCAGGAGCUCCCAGCUUGCAAGCCAAUCCUUACUCCAAAAUGGGUCAUUUCGGUGUUUCUUCUUGUCGGUGUCAUUUUUGUCCCGAUAGGUGUUGCUUCGUUGCUAGCUUCAAAUAAGGUCGUUGAGAUUGUUGAUCGAUACGAUGAUGCGUGCGUCCCGUCUAAUGUUACUGACAAGCUUGCCUACAUCCAGAACUCAACGAUAUCUAAAACCUGCCAAAGGACACUCAAGGUCCCGAAGGAUAUGAAGCAGCCAAUUUUUGUGUAUUAUCAGUUGAAUAACUUCUACCAGAAUCAUAGGAGAUAUGUUAAGAGCCGGAAUGACCAACAGCUAAGAGAUGCUAGUAAGGCAAACGAGACCACGCUUUGUGACCCUGAGAAGACCAGAGAUGGAAUGGCUAUUGUUCCAUGUGGUCUGAUUGCAUGGAGCACAUUCAAUGAUACAUAUACCUUCCAACACAACACUAACAACAUAUCAAUCGACAAGACAGACAUCUCUUGGAAGAGUGACAGGGACCACAAAUUUGGAAGUGAUGUCUUCCCAAAAAACUUCCAGAAAGGUCCUCUUAUAGGUGGAAAAACACUCAACGAAUCUAUACCGCUGAGUGAGCAAGAGGACCUUAUUGUUUGGAUGCGAACUGCCGCGCUUCCUACAUUCAGAAAACUGUAUGGUAGGAUACGUGUUGACCUCAAAGAAAAUGACACCAUUACUGUUACGCUGGACAACAAUUACAACACAUAUAGCUUUGAUGGCAAAAAGAGUUUGGUGCUUUCUACUUCAACUUGGCUUGGUGGAAAGAAUGAUUUUCUUGGUCUUGCAUAUCUCACUGUUGGUGGACUCUGCUUCUUCCUGGCAUUUGCAUUCACCUUACUCUACUUGAUAAAACCAAGAAAAUUGGGAGAUAACAACUACUUGUCAUGGAACAGAAACUCUGCAGGCCACUGA